UACGUAGGGUGCAAGCGUUAAUCGGAAUUACUGGGCGUAAAGCGUGCGCAGGCGGUUUUGUAAGACAGGUGUGAAAUCCCCGGGCUUAACCUGGGAACUGCAUUUGUGACUGCAAAGCUGGAGUGCGGCAGAGGGGGAUGGAAUUCCGCGUGUAGCAGUGAAAUGCGUAGAGAUGUGGAGGAACACCGAUGGCGAAGGCAGCCCCCUGGGUCAAGAUUGACGCUCAUGCACGAAAGCGUGGGGAGCAAACAGG
rnacentral:rRNA from 1 species